AACGCGAAGAACCUUACCUGGGCUCGAACGGCUUAAGAACAUGCUUGGAAACAGGCACUUCCCGCAAGGGACUUGAGUCGAGGUGCUGCAUGGCUGUCGUCAGCUCGUGUCGUGAGAUGUCGGGUUAAGUCCCUUAACGAGCGCAACCCUUAUCCCUAGUUGCCAUCAUUCAGUUGGGCACUCUACGGAGACUGCCGGUGUUAAACCGGAGGAAGGUGGGGAUGACGUCAAGUCCUCAUGGCCUUUAUAUCCAGGGCUACACACGUGCUACAAUGGCCGGUACAAAGAGUUGCCAACCUGCAAAGGGGAGCUAAUCUCAGAAAGCCGGUCUCAGUUCGGAUUGAAGUCUGCAAUUCGACUUCAUGAAGCUGGAAUCGCUAGUAAUCGCGGAUCAGAACGCCGCGGUGAAUACGUUCCCGGGCCUUGUACACACCGGUACUA
rnacentral:rRNA from 1 species